CCAGGUACAGCCAGGAAGCAAACACACAGAAAAUGAGGCACAGAAGUCACAGAAGCUACAUCCUGAGAAGAAGUGGAGGAGGCCAUACAAAUUUUAUACCUCUGAACAAGGAUUUGGUU